UAUAUUGUGCAUUUUUCAUACAGAUACUUAGUUAUACUACAUAUUUUGCAAAAGUUUAUAAGUUUUUAUAUCUUAAAAUUACUCAUUGUUAUACUAUUAUUACACGUUACACUAUUUGUGUAAUAUAUUUGAAUGUCUAACAAUUCGUUUUAUUACCUUCAUAUUUCACCAAUUUAUCUCUAUCUAGAGACUUUUCGAUUUUAUUUCUUAGUAGGAGAAAUCUUUUGUUAUGAAACAACAAGGCGAACGAAAAAGUUGAGAUAAGAUCAAUUGAGAUAAGAUCCUCGGAGUGUCUCGCGCGCGUGACAUUAUUCCGUGUGCGUGUACAUUCGUUCUUACGCAUUCUGUUCGUGCUUCUCUAUCUAUCUGCGCGCUCUACUUUGUGAUUUACGGAACCGUCUGAAUCUCGAUGAUAAUCUCGUGACGUAAAAUAGCCAGCUUAUUAGCCGCAACUGAUUCUCUAAUCUCAGUACAACUACAUUCAUUCUAUUUUAAGAAUGAAUUUUAGACCUCAGAAAACGAAGACGAACUAUCAGCAUUGAGAAAAUAAAGUGAUGUGAAAAUUUAUCGAUUGUUCAAGCGCCCACAUGUCAGGUUUAAUCGGGCGUGUGUUACACAUACGAAGGGUGUAACAUACGCACGUAUUGUGACGCACGCACCCAUAUUCGAGAAUGCAAUAUUGCAGUCGUGUCACUAUCGGCAAUCAGCGGUUGGCUUCUUCACGAGUGAAUAGCCAUGCCGGAACUUUUGUCCAAGGGCUACUUUCAAAGCAAUAAAUAAGACGGAAGGGGCGAGGAGAAAUGAGGAGGUGGAACGUGCGUCAGCCUAUGCGUCGAUCAAAGUACACCCUUAUACAUUUAUCUAUUUCUUGCUUCUCCUUUGUGUUCCAUUAUGUUCUUAUGCUGAAGUAUCAAGAUGUUUGAGAAAGACGUUGCUUUACUCACUAAUUGUGAAAGGUAUAGUUUUUUUAUCCUCUUUUGGUUGGAAUGAGUGUAACUUGUAACAUAAAUCUAUAAUCUUCAUAUAUGUGUAUUGUUUUCACUUAUUAUAUCAAAUAAUUAAAAAUAAAAUAUUAUUGCGCCCGCAGUAAUACGU
rnacentral:lncRNA from 13 species